rnacentral:rRNA from 1 species
GACGAACGCUGGCGGCGUGCUUAACACAUGCAAGUCGAACGGAAAGGCCCUGCUUUUGUGGGGUGCUCGAGUGGCGAACGGGUGAGUAACACGUGAGUAACCUGCCCUUGACUUUGGGAUAACUUCAGGAAACUGGGGCUAAUACCGGAUAGGAGCUCCUGCUGCAUGGUGGGGGUUGGAAAGUUUCGGCGGUUGGGGAUGGACUCGCGGCUUAUCAGCUUGUUGGUGGGGUAGUGGCUUACCAAGGCUUUGACGGGUAGCCGGCCUGAGAGGGUGACCGGCAACAUUGGGACUGAGAUACGGCCCAGACUCCUACGGGAGGCAGCAGUAGGGAAUAUUGCACAAUGGGCGGAAGCCUGAUGCAGCAACGCCGCGUGCGGGAUGACGGCAUUCGGGUUGUAAACCGCUUUCGCCUGUGACGAAGCGUGAGUGAAGGUAAUGGGUAAAGAAGCACCGGCUAACUACGUG